AUCACCACGGGGUGUUUUGGGGUUGUUUGUUUUUUUUUUUAGAAAGCCCAGAAGCGAAGCGUCCCUUCCUCCAGUUUGGAACCAUCUGUGACUGGAGCCAUGACGCAGCCAGAGCACAUUACUCACUUUUACAGUCACGACUUGGAAAUCCGUGCAGUUUCCAACCAAAAUUACACCGCCACCAUUGAAUUAUUUAAUAGGAUCCAGUUAAGGAGCCACCGCUUCCGAGUUCCGACGAUUGGCUGCACGUGCUGCAAGGGCUUUUUUUCCUUUAAACCCCGACCAAACAAACCGGGGACGGGUCCGUUUGUAAAUACGACCACGCGCGCUCGGGAAAGGGACGCUUCGGUUCCUACAUUCGGGGCGUCCGUGGGCGGAGUGCCGCGGUGCGGCUCCGCGGGGCUCGGCGCGAGGAGCGGCGCUUUGUGUGCCCGCGGCCGCGGCCGCAGCGCGGCAUUGUCUGCGGGAUCCGCCGGCGGUGCCGGGCUUUGUGCGGUAGGUGCACCAUUUUCUAAGCUCGCUCGUACCGCGAGGCGACGGCUGAGCGCGCUCGGCGGGAGCCGCCGCCGCGGCUAUUGUCUGCCCGUACC
rnacentral:lncRNA from 7 species